UUGACUGACGUCAUUCACCAGUUUGGAUUAUCUGCAUCCUCUGGCUCUCUUACAAACAUCCACAUUGUCAUUAAACCUGGCUACCCGGAUUCUGAGGAGUGCUAUCACGAUGUCUACAAACAGCUCAGCUUAAUUAUGAACCAGGGAGGCCAAGCAAUCUUCAGGUCCCUCACCAGCGACCUAGAUGACAUCAUCAUAACAGUGG